rnacentral:rRNA from 1 species
UACAGAGGUCCCAAGCGUUGUUCGGAUUCACUGGGCGUAAAGGGUGCGUAGGUGGCGAGGUAAGUCGGAUGUGAAAGCUCGGAGCUCAACUCCGAAAUUGCAUUGGAAACUACCUUGCUUGAGGGUUGGAGGGGGGACUGGAAUGCUUGGUGUAGCAGUGAAAUGCGUAGAUAUCAAGCGGAACACCAGUGGCGAAGGCGAGUCCCUGGACAACUCCUGACACUGAGGCACGAAAGCUAGGGGAGCAAACAGG